rnacentral:rRNA from 1 species
GAACGCUGGCGGCGUGCCUAAUACAUGCAAGUAGAACGCUGAAGAGAGGAGCUUGCUCUUCUUGGAUGAGUUGCGAACGGGUGAGUAACGCGUAGGUAACCUGCCUUGUAGCGGGGGAUAACUAUUGGAAACGAUAGCUAAUACCGCAUAACAAUGGAUGACACAUGUCAUUUAUUUGAAAGGGGCAAUUGCUCCACUACAAGAUGGACCUGCGUUGUAUUAGCUAGUAGGUGAGGUAAUGGCUCACCUAGGCGACGAUACAUAGCCGACCUGAGAGGGUGAUCGGCCACACUGGGACUGAGACACGGCCCAGACUCCUACGGGAGGCAGCAGUAGGGAAUCUUCGGCAAUGGGGGCAACCCUGACCGAGCAACGCCGCGUGAGUGAAGAAGGUUUUCGGAUCGUAAAGCUCUGUUGUAAGUCAAGAACGGGUGUGAGAGUGGAAAGUUCACACUGUGACGGUAGCUUACCAGAAAGGGACGGCUAACUACGUGCCAGCAGCCGCGGUAAUACGUAGGUCCCGAGCGUUGUCCGGAUUUAUUGGGCGUAAAGCGAGCGCAGGCGGUUUGAUAAGUCUGAAGUUAAAGGCUGUGGCUCAACCAUAGUUCGCUUUGGAAACUGUCAAACUUGAGUGCAGAAGGGGAGAGUGGAAUUCCAUGUGUAGCGGUGAAAUGCGUAGAUAUAUGGAGGAACACCGGUGGCGAAAGCGGCUCUCUGGUCUGUAACUGACGCUGAGGCUCGAAAGCGUGGGGAGCGAACAGGAUUAGAUACCCUGGUAGUCCACGCCGUAAACGAUGAGUGCUAGGUGUUGGAUCCUUUCCGGGAUUCAGUGCCGCAGCUAACGCAUUAAGCACUCCGCCUGGGGAGUACGACCGCAAGGUUGAAACUCAAAGGAAUUGACGGGGGCCCGCACAAGCGGUGGAGCAUGUGGUUUAAUUCGAAGCAACGCGAAGAACCUUACCAGGUCUUGACAUCCCGAUGCUAUUUCUAGAGAUAGAAAGUUACUUCGGUACAUCGGUGACAGGUGGUGCAUGGUUGUCGUCAGCUCGUGUCGUGAGAUGUUGGGUUAAGUCCCGCAACGAGCGCAACCCCUAUUGUUAGUUGCCAUCAUUCAGUUGGGCACUCUAGCGAGACUGCCGGUAAUAAACCGGAGGAAGGUGGGGAUGACGUCAAAUCAUCAUGCCCCUUAUGACCUGGGCUACACACGUGCUACAAUGGUUGGUACAACGAGUUGCGAGUCGGUGACGGCGAGCUAAUCUCUUAAAGCCAAUCUCAGUUCGGAUUGUAGGCUGCAACUCGCCUACAUGAAGUCGGAAUCGCUAGUAAUCGCGGAUCAGCACGCCGCGGUGAAUACGUUCCCGGGCCUUGUACACACCGCCCGUCACACCACGAGAGUUUGUAACACCCGAAGUCGGUGAGGUAACCUUUUGGAGCCAGCCGCCUAAGGUGGGACAGAUGAUUGGGGUG